rnacentral:rRNA from 1 species
UUUAUGGAGAGUUUGAUCCUGGCUCAGGAUGAACGCUGGCGGCGUGCCUAAUACAUGCAAGUCGAGCGGUAAGGCCCCUUCGGGGGUACACGAGCG